AGAAGACUUGCCAAUCAGUGGUAGCACAGGGAGGAAGUUGGCUGAGCUGAGAGAAGGGCAUGUAGCUCAGACCAGAAACCUCUCAUCUAAGUACUGGGAGCUCCAAACUCCGGCCUGCUUCUGUCUAGAAGAAGGAACUGAGCCCCAAGGAAGGAAAGACAUUCGCUCAAGCCCCCAUAAAUAACUCUUUUCAUUGUCAGUCAUUUUGACUUUUGUCUUGCCACUGGAUUUCAUGACUCAGGAAGACAGAAUGAGGCUGAUGAUUGCAACUGGGACUUUCUUGAAUCCGGUUCACAUGUCAGUCAAGACAUGGUUCUCUUAAAAAAUGAAGGACAAACAACAAUAAAACAAGAAUAAUAAUUGCCUCUACCUCCCA
rnacentral:lncRNA from 1 species